rnacentral:rRNA from 1 species
AGUGAACGCUGGCGGUAGGCCUAACACAUGCAAGUCGAACGGCAGCACAGUAAGAGCUUGCUCUUACGGGUGGCGGGUGGCGGACGGGUGAGGAAUACAUCGGAAUCUACUUUUUCGUGGGGGAUAACGUAGGGAAACUUACGCUAAUACCGCAUACGACCUACGGGUGAAAGUAGGGGAUCUUCGGACCUUGCGCGAUUGAAUGAGCCGAUGUCGGAUUAGCUAGUUGGCGGGGUAAAGGCCCACCAAGGCGACGAUCCGUAGCUGGUCUGAGAGGAUGAUCAGCCACACUGGAACUGAGACACGGUCCAGACUCCUACGGGAGGCAGCAGUGGGGAAUAUUGGACAAUGGGCGCAAGCCUGAUCCAGCCAUACCGCGUGGGUGAAGAAGGCCUUCGGGUUGUAAAGCCCUUUUGUUGGGAAAGAAAAGCAGCAGGUUAAUACCCCGCUGUUCUGACGGUACCCAAAGAAUAAGCACCGGCUAACUUCGUG